GGGUCCGCACAAGCGGUGGAGCAUGUGGUUUAAUUCGAUAAUACGCGAGGAACCUUACCUAGGCUAGAAUGCGAGUGAUAUCCAGAGAGAUCUGGAGUUCUUCGGACACAAAGCAAGGUGCUGCAUGGUUGUCGUCAGCUCGUGCCGUGAGGUGUUGGGUUAAGUCCCGCAACGAGCGCAACCCCUAUUUCUAGUUGCCAGCAAGUAAUGUUGGGGACUCUAGAAAGACUGCCUGCGUAAGCAGAGAGGAAGGAGGGACGACGUCAAGUCCUCAUGGCCCUUAUGCCUAGGGCUACACACGUAAUACAAUGGUACAUACAAAGGGAAGCGACCCAGUGAUGGUAAGCAAA
rnacentral:rRNA from 1 species